GGCAGACAUUGUGCAUUAUGUGAGCUGAUAUUUGAGGAGUACAGACUUCCAUUUGAUACAUCCUUUACACAAUUAAGAAGCCACCAUCGUUCUUCUUUGGAUUUUCAUCCCGUGUAUUGCCUCGAGUCUGGUGCUUGGAUUUCUGUGAGAAAAGAAUUUCCGUGUUUUUUCUUGGACCAUGGCUCUUGGAUUAUCGUCCUACAGUCGCUGCGUGAAAUGGCGCUCUGGUUGCGGACAAAACUGGCAGCUUUUCCUUUUUCUCUUUUAUCUCAGCCAUGUGGUCAGCGGACAUAUACGAUAUUCAAUCCCAGAGGAGAUGAAGAAAGGCUCCCUCAUCGGUAAUGUAGCACAGGAUCUCGGUUUGGAUCUAAAACGUCUUCGUAGUGGCCGGGCCCGUAUCGUGACCGGAGAAAGCAUCCAGUACACCGAGCUGAAGACAGACAAAGGGACUCUGGUCGUGAAUGAGAGGAUAGACAGGGAGCAGCUCUGUGGAGACACGACUCCGUGUAGCUUCAGCUUCGAGGUGAUUUUAGAAAACCCGAUGGAGCUCCAUCAAAUAACAGUGGAAAUAACAGACAUAAAUGAUCACGCACCAAGUUUUAAACGAGAUAAAAUCCAUUUUGAAAUCAGUGAAUCUGCAAAUACUGGCGCUCGCUUUUCUUUACCUAGUGCAGAAGACCAGGAUGUGGGAGUCAAUGGACUCAGAGAAUAUUUCCUGACCGAGAAUGAGAAUUUUGCUCUAAAACAAAACUCACAUGCAGACGGAAAGAAAUAUGCAGAGAUGGUGUUACAGAAGCCUUUAGACAGGGAGACAAAUCCCAGUCUGUCUCUAAAGCUGAUAGCUGUAGAUGGUGGAAGUCCGCAGAGGUCUGGUACUGUAAAUAUAGAUAUCACUGUUCUAGACGCCAAUGAUAAUGCACCUGUAUUUAAUCAAUCUGUGUACAAAGCUACAGUGAUGGAAAACUCACCUAAAGAUACCUAUGUAACUACUGUUAAUGCCAGCGACGCAGAUUUUGGUUCAAAUAGUGUUAUUGGAUACUAUUUUUCAGAUCUUAACAGUGGUCUGAGUGAUGUGUUCACAAUUGAUGAAAAAUCAGGAAUAAUGUUUGUGAAAGGUUCUAUUGAUUAUGAAAAAGAUAAGAAAUUUGAACUCAGACUCGAUGCAAAAGAUCAGGGAGGUUUGACAGAUUCAUGCAAAGUAAUAAUCGAAGUAAUUGAUGUGAAUGACAACAAACCCACUGUUAGCGUGAUGUCCUUCACUAGUCCUGUGUCAGAGGAUUCUCCUCCAGGUACAACUAUUGGCAUUAUUAAUGUUAAAGAUCUUGAUUCAGGUGAUAAUGGACUUGUUAACUGUAGAAUUGAACAAAACGCACCUUUCAAGAUUAAGUCCAAUUUAAGGAAUUACUACACUUUGAUCACAGAUACUGUAUUAGACCGUGAAAGUGUUUCAGAGUAUAACAUCACUGUAGUUGCGACAGAUGCAGGACUUCCCCCUCUCAUCACAAAACAAACUUUUCAUUUGAAGGUCUCUGAUGUGAACGAUAAUGCUCCUGUGUUUCCAAAAGGUAGUUAUAGUGCGUUUAUUACAGAGAAUAACUCUCCAGGAGUGUCUGUUGUCACACUGAGGGCAGAAGAUCCGGACGAGAACCAAAACGCGAGAAUAUCUUAUAUCCUAGUAGACACUAAUAUCGGCGGGGCUCCAGUGUCUGAUUAUGUCUCAGUAAAUGCAGAAAGCGGGGUAGUGCACGCUGUGCGCUCGUUUGAUUAUGAGCAAAUUAAACAGCUGGUUUUCGUGGUCAAAGCUCAGGAUGGAGGCUCCCCUCCACUCAGCAGCAACGUGACAGUGAAGCUAAUAAUCCAGGACCAGAACGACAACCCUCCUCAGGUCCUGUACCCGGUCCAGACUGGUGGCUCUCUGGUGGCUGAGAUGGUUCCUCGUGCAGCAGAUGUGGGCUAUCUGGUGACUAAAGUGGUGGCUGUGGAUGUGGACUCUGGACAGAAUGCCUGGCUGUCGUAUAAACUGCAGAAAGCCACAGACAGGGCGCUGUUUGAAGUGGGCUUACAGAAUGGAGAAAUCCGAACUAUCCGCCAAGUGAGUGAUAAAGAUGCUGUGAAACAAAGACUGACUGUGAUAGUGGAGGACAACGGGCAGCCGUCUCGUUCAGCUACAGUCAUUGUGAACGUGGCGGUGGCGGACAGCUUCCCUGAAGUGCUGUCAGAGUUCACUGACUUUACACACGACAAGGAGUACAAUGACAACCUGACUUUUUACUUAGUGCUGGCUUUGGCUGUAGUGUCCUUCCUCUUCAUCACGUGUUUGGUGGUCAUUAUAUCAGUGAAAAUCUACAGAUGGAGACAGUCUCGUAUCCUGUAUCACUCCAGUCUUCCAGUGAUUCCCUAUUAUCCUCCACGUUACUCAGACACUCUGGGCACAGGGACUCUUCCACACGUGUACAAUUACGAGGUGUGCAGGACGACUGACUCGAGAAAGAGUGACUUGAAAUAUAUGCAGCCGAUGACUCAAAGUUUAGUAAGUGUGGACGGAGCUGAAGCAGAAACUCCACAGGUGGAAAAGCAACUUACAAGCAACUGUUCACAGAUGUCAACUCUGGUGAGUUAUGUUUGUCCUCAUUGUUAUUUAUCUAUUUAAUUCUAUUUUAGUUUAGUUAUUUUCACUGUGGUUUCUUUUUUUAUAAUUAGUAAAGCUUUGGCACAAGCACAGUUGUCGGUUGUGUGUUGCUGGAGCUGUCCCUGGUCCUGAAACACUUGAUGAAACACAUCUAAAGCAGUGUUUUUAUUAUUUUUUUCAACAUAUCUUAUUAUACUAUGAAAAAUAUGUGUGUGUGUGUGUGCAUGUGUGUGUGUAUGAAAAACUAUCAGUGCUUUCAUAAAAUCCACAAUAGGUUCACCAAGUACACAUGAAAUAACAAAUAGUAACAAACAAACUGCAACUGUUGUCACCUAAAUAUGCAUACAUUCAUCUCAAGAAUCUUCUCAACCAUAACAGCUUUUUUAUCACUAUAAGUUAGAGCAUGAAUCAGCAACGAUCUGUUUUGUCACUGUAGGUGAAUGUACACAUUUCAGGAGAUCUGGAAACUAUGCCACACUUGAAAACAAAGAGUAAAUGAGCUGUAUUUUCAGCUCUUAUUACCAUCCCCUGUCCUGAUUUAAAGGAAUACAUUUGCAGUUCGGUUUUCCCUUUUUACUCAAACACUUUUAGAUGUGCUUGAUGUGGAUUUUUUAUUCUAAACAAAUCAUCUUUGGCUCACUACAACAUCACUGUGCACUCCACGUUCAUUACCAUGAAUGAGCUCUGAGUGCCGCUGUUGAUACAUGACUGACUGACUGUCCUCAUGAGCUGAGCUGCGGUCCGCCCCUUGUAUUCAUUUCAGUGUUUACUGCUUCGAGAGAAGACGGUGUAGUCGGAGGUGAUUAGAGGUUUAGCAUUGAUCGUGGACUUCGUCAGAUAAAAUACUGGAACCUUCUCAUUUUAUGGAUUGAUUACAACAGUUUUGAUUGAAAAGGACUACGGCAUCUAUACCUCUGGAUUUAUAAUGUCUGUUCUUCUGAGCAGCAGUCGAGGAGGCCCAUGGCAAACGCUGGUUCUUAUUCUUUGUCUUUUCAAGCUGAGCUCAGUGAGGGGACAGGCUCGAUACUCUGUACCGGAGGAGCAGACAGAAGGCUCGUUUGUCGGAAACAUAGCUCGAGAUUUAGGUUUGGAUGUGGGGAGGCUCAUAUCAGGUAAAGCUCGUAUCAUUACUAAAGGAAGCCGGCAGUACGUUGAUUUAAAUCGGGACAAAGGCGUGCUUGUUAUUAAAGAGCGCAUCGACCGAGAGGAUCUGUGUGGUAAGACGACGCCCUGUAGCUUCAGCUUCGAAGUGAUUUUAGAAAACCCAAUCCAGCUUUAUCGAGUAACAGUGGAGGUAGUGGACAUAAACGACAACAGCCCGUCAUUCCCAAAAGAGGAGAUCAAUCUGAAAAUUGUUGAAAAUGCUGCAGCAGGUACUCGCUUUUCACUCGAGAGUGCAUUUGACGCCGAUGUCGGUAUUAAUGAUAUUCAAAAAUACACUCUAAAACCAUCAGAUCAUUUUAAAUUGGAGGUCCAGAACCAGCCUGAUGGAGAAAGAUUCAUCGAAAUGGUUUUACAAAACCCGUUAGACCGAGAGAAAGAGGAGACUCACACGCUCGUGCUGCUUGCCUCAGAUGGAGGAGAGCCUCGUAGAUCAGGGACAGUGCGUAUUCGUAUCACUGUGCUUGAUGCUAAUGACAAUGCACCAGUUUGUAGCCAACCUGUCUAUAAAGCAGAGGUCAGGGAGAAUUCUCCUCAAGGAACAGUGGUGACCACAGUGAGUGCUAAUGACGCAGACAAAGGCGUAAAUGGAGAAGUGGCUUACUCCAUCGCUCAUGUGGCCAGAGAGGCGAGGCCACUUUUUGAGGUAAACGCAAAAACCGGAGAGGUAAGAGUAGCAGGUAAAUUGGAUUUUGAGAAAUCUAAGACAUAUCAGUUAAAAGUUCAGGCUAGUGACCACGGGGGAUAUACAGACACGUGCAAAGUUAUAAUUCAGAUUAUUGACGAAAAUGACAACGUGCCCACAAUCCAGCUGAUGUCAUUUUCUAACUCGAUAUCCGAGGACUCUCCUCCAGGUACAACUCUAGCUGUGAUUAAUGUAGAUGACGAAGACUCUGAAGGUAACGGUGUUGUCAGGUGCUCCAUUAACUCAGACGUUCCUUUCAAAAUUGAGUCUUCAUUAACAGGAUAUUACACAAUAAUCACGGAAGACUUCUUGGACAGGGAAAGUGUUCCUGAGUAUAAUAUCACUAUCAUCGUCUGUGACCAAGGCUCUCCGCCUUUGUCCAGUAGUACUGUCAUUAAUGUGAUAGUUUCUGACGUGAACGACAGCCCACCCAAAUUUUCACAAACAGAGUAUAGUAAGACUGUCCAAGAGAACAACUCUCCUGGAGUUUCUGUGUUUACUCUCAGUGCUAGUGAUGCAGACUGGGGUCAAAACUCUCGUGUUUCUUAUUUCCUGGAGGAGAAAGAAAUUCAUGGAGUCGCUGUGUCAUCCUUAGUGUCAGUGAAUUCAGAAAAUGGCGCCAUUCAUGCAGUGAGGUCAUUUGAUUAUGAGCAGAUCAAAUGGUUUGAAUUUAACGUAACUGCCCGUGAUGCUGGGUCUCCUCCUCUGAGUUCAGUGGCUAAGAUAAAAAUGGUGAUCCAGGACCAGAACGACAACCCUCCUCAGGUCCUGUACCCGGUCCAGACUGGUGGCUCUCUGGUGGCUGAGAUGGUGCCUCGUGCAGCAGAUGUGGGCUAUCUGGUGACUAAAGUGGUGGCUGUGGAUGUGGACUCUGGACAGAAUGCCUGGCUGUCGUAUAAACUGCAGAAAGCCACAGACAGGGCGCUGUUUGAAGUGGGCUUACAGAAUGGAGAAAUCCGAACUAUCCGCCAAGUGAGUGAUAAAGAUGCUGUGAAACAAAGACUGACUGUGAUAGUGGAGGACAACGGGCAGCCGUCUCGUUCAGCUACAGUCAUUGUGAACGUGGCGGUGGCGGACAGCUUCCCUGAAGUGCUGUCAGAGUUCACUGACUUUACACACGACAAGGAGUACAAUGACAACCUGACUUUUUACUUAGUGCUGGCUCUGGCUGUAGUGUCCUUCCUCUUCAUCACGUGUUUGGUGGUCAUUAUAUCCGUGAAAAUCUACAGAUGGAGACAGUCUCGUAUCCUGUAUCACUCCAGUCUUCCAGUGAUUCCCUAUUAUCCUCCACGUUACUCAGACACUCUGGGCACAGGGACUCUUCCACACGUGUACAAUUACGAGGUGUGCAGGACGACUGACUCGAGAAAGAGUGACUGUAAGUUCGGCAGAGCUGGUAGUCAGAACGUGCUGAUAAUGGACCCCAGUUCUACAGGGACCAUGCAGAGGAUACAGAGUGAGAAGAGCAUCCUGGACGAACCAGACUCUCCACUAGAGGUCAGUUCAUGUGUGACAUGCUGUGUGAGCCAACAUACAUUUAAUUUUUUUACCUUUUGUAUUUUUCGGCUUGUAUUUACAACUGAAAAUUGACCCCUGACCCUUAGUUCAUCAGCUUUUUCAGCAGUUUUCUGUCUUACCAUCUAUUUUUAGGGAUACUCGUCAAUGGUUUUAGAACGUUAUGAUCAGGGUGGUGUCCUUCCUCCUACUGUUUAUCCAUAAGUCCCAGAAAAGUUAAUUUUGUAUGAUUUCAAUAACUCAUCAUAUGUCACACAAAUAUGUCUACUCCUUUUUAAAUUCUCUCCCUAUUUUUGUGUGUAUCGGAUCGUUUGGGAGGUGUUGGAAAGCUGUUUCCUUCACACUCAAAGAUUUCGGCAAGAACAACAGCGUGUUUGAGCUCAGGAUCAUAUUAUUUUUUUUAUGUUUGACCUUCCCCCGGAAGAAUAUAGUUAUGUGGAUUGUUGUUGUCUUUAAUCCCUUCCAUGAAAGUCCAAACCACCUCCUGAUAUCUGCAGAGAUAUUUCUGUGUUACAUGAUGUUCCUACGUUUGAACUCUAAGGGACGCUGUUGGUCAAUCAAACAUGAACUCUGUAAAGCAUCACCCCUCAGUCCCUCCCUGAACAGUGGAGCAUUUUAGAUGAGGCAGACAUUGUGCAUUAUGUGAGCUGAUAUUUGAGGAGUACAGACUUCCAUUUGAUACAUCCUUUACACAAUUAAGAAGCCACCAUCGCUCUUCUUAGGAGUUUCUUCCCGUGUAUUGCCUCGAGUCUGGUGCUGUGAUUUCUGUGAGAAAAGAAUUUCCGUGUUUUUUCUUGGACCAUGGCUCUUGGAUUAUCGUCCUACAGUCGCUGCGUGAAAUGGCGCUCUGGUUGCGGACAAAACUGGCAGCUUUUCCUUUUUCUCUUUUACCUCAGCCAUGUGGUCAGCGGACAUAUACGAUAUUCAAUCCCAGAGGAGAUGAAGAAAGGCUCCCUCAUCGGUCAUGUAGCACAGGAUCUCGGUUUGGAUCUAAAACGUCUUCGUAGUGGUCGGGCCCGUAUCGUGACCGGAGAAAGCAUCCAGUACACCGAGCUGAAGACAGACAAAGGGACUCUGGUCGUGAAUGAGAGGAUAGACAGGGAGCAGCUCUGUGGAGACACGACUCCGUGUAGCUUCAGCUUCGAGGUGAUUUUAGAAAACCCGAUGGAGCUCCAUCAAGUAACAGUGGAAAUAACAGACAUAAAUGAUCACGCACCAAGUUUUACACGAGAUGAAAUCCAUUUUAAAAUUAGCGAAACAGCUAAUACUGGCGCUCGCUUUUCUUUACCUAGUGCAGAAGACCAAGAUGUGGGAGUCAAUGGGCUCAGAGAAUAUUUUCUUACUGAGAAUGAGAAUUUUGCUCUAAAACAAAACUCACAUGCAGAUGGAAAGAAAUAUGCAGAGAUGGUGUUACAGAAGCCUUUAGACAGGGAGACAAAUCCCAGCCUGUCUCUAAAGCUGAUAGCUGUAGAUGGUGGAAGUCCGCAGAGGUCUGGUACUGUAAAUAUAGAUAUCACUGUUCUGGACGCCAAUGAUAAUGCACCUGUAUUUAAUCAAUCUGUGUACAAAGCUACAGUGAUGGAAAACUCACCUAAAGAUACCUAUGUAACUACUGUUAAUGCCAGUGACGCAGAUUUUGGUUCAAAUAGUGUUAUUGGAUACUAUUUUUCAGAUCUUAACCGUGGUCUGAGUGAUUUGUUCACAAUAGAUGAAAAAUCAGGAAUAAUUUUAGUGAAAGGUUCUAUUGAUUAUGAAAAAGAUAAGAAAUUUGAACUCAGACUCGAUGCUAAAGAUCAGGGAGGUUUGACAGAUUCAAGUAAAGUAAUAAUCGAAGUUAUUGAUGUGAAUGACAACAAACCCACUGUGAGCGUGAUGUCCUUCACUAGUCCUGUUUCAGAGGAUUCUCCUCCAGGUACAACUAUUGGCAUUAUUAAUGUUAAAGAUCUUGAUUCAGGUGAUAAUGGACUUGUUAACUGUAGAAUUGAACAAAAUUCACCUUUCAAGAUUAAGUCCAAUUUAAGGAAUUACUACACUUUGGUCACAGACACUGUAUUAGAUCGUGAAAGUGUUUCAGAGUAUAACAUCACUGUAGUUGCGACGGAUGCAGGACUUCCGCCUCUGACCACAAAACAAACCUUUAAUUUAAAGGUCUCUGAUGUGAACGAUAAUGCUCCUGUGUUUCCAAAAGAUAGUUAUAGUGCGUUUAUAACAGAGAAUAACUCUCCAGGAGUGUCUGUUAUCACACUGAGGGCAGAAGAUCCGGACGAGAACCAAAACGCCAGAAUAUCUUAUAUCCUCGUAGACACUAAUAUCGGCGGAGCUCCAGUGUCUGAUUAUGUCUCAGUAAAUGCAGAAAGCGGGGUAGUGCACGCUGUGCGCUCGUUUGAUUAUGAGCAAAUUAAACAGCUGGUUUUCGUGGUCAAAGCUCAGGAUGGAGGCUCCCCUCCACUCAGCAGCAACGUAACAGUGAAGCUAAUAAUCCAGGACCAGAACGACAACCCCCCUCAGGUCUUGUACCCGGUCCAGACUGGUGGCUCUCUGGUGGCUGAGAUGGUUCCUCGUGCAGCAGAUGUGGGCUAUCUGGUGACUAAAGUGGUGGCUGUGGAUGUGGACUCUGGACAGAAUGCCUGGCUGUCGUAUAAACUGCAGAAAGCCACAGACAGGGCGCUGUUUGAAGUGGGCUUACAGAAUGGAGAAAUCCGAACUAUCCGCCAAGUGAGUGAUAAAGAUGCUGUGAAACAAAGACUGACUGUGAUAGUGGAAGACAACGGGCAGCCGUCUCGUUCAGCUACAGUCAUUGUGAACGUGGCGGUGGCGGACAGCUUCCCUGAAGUGCUGUCAGAGUUCACUGACUUUACACACGACAAGGAGUACAAUGACAACCUGACUUUUUACUUAGUGCUGGCUUUGGCUGUAGUGUCCUUCCUCUUCAUCACGUGUUUGGUGGUCAUUAUAUCAGUGAAAAUCUACAGAUGGAGACAGUCUCGUAUCCUGUAUCACUCCAGUCUUCCAGUGAUUCCCUAUUAUCCUCCACGUUACUCAGACACUCUGGGCACAGGGACUCUUCCACACGUGUACAAUUACGAGGUGUGCAGGACGACUGACUCGAGAAAGAGUGACUGUAAGUUCGGCAGAGCUGGUAGUCAGAACGUGCUGAUAAUGGACCCCAGUUCAACAGGGACCAUGCAGAGGAUACAGAGUGAGAAGAGCAUCCUGGAUGAACCAGACUCUCCACUGGAGGUGAGGCCAUAGAUCUCGUAGUCACCUGGCAUAAAACUUUUUCAUGCUUUAAAUUACUCCUUGCUGUGUUAAACUUACGUUCUACCUACAAUUUGAAUACUCUUAUACUCUUUAAUGUUUGAAAAAGGUUGCUGUCUGUUAUUGCAGUCAUAUAAAAUUUCAUUUUAGGUCCAAGCAGAGUUACGUGUGAGAAAUCUUUCAUGUUGCCUGUAGAAGUGUUCAGCUCCUUUAUAUGGGAAUUAUGUUGCAGUAUUUGCGUCAUGGCAAUGUACAUAUUAGCCUAGUUUUCUAAAAGAGCAAUACCUGGUUGCUACGUUACUCCUUACUGAACUGCAUAUUCUCCUCUACUUUUUCUCUCCAUAUCAGCAGUUUUGUUACAUCUCAUUUCAAUUGUCAUCAGUUGUACAGUUACACAUUGUACUGUACAGCACUUACAGGUGAAUAAAAGUAAGCAGGAUCCCACCUGCUUUUCAAAGAGGGUUUUAGCCCUUUUUUUUUGUCAUAGAGGUUAUUUUCAUGUUGGACUGUGAGUGCCGCUGUUGGUCUACAAAGCACUUGUGGGGCUUUUCAGAUUCAGCUAAACCCACACAGCUCGUCUCACAGUUUUCUGUGGACUGCUGAGCAUUCGGUCCUCGUUUUUGCUUGUGAUUUUCCAGACCGCUGUAUUUGUUACAUCUGUGUAAAUCAAGCCGAUAUUAGCCAGAGGACGUUACUUUUUUCUACAGGUAUAAUAUUUUUCACACCAUGUUUUAUGCGAUAUUGAGUGGAUUGCUUCGGAAUAUGGCUUUUAUCAGCAGUGAGGUCACGAUAAAAAGGCAAGUACGGGCCAUCAUCCUUGUUUUCCUAUUUGACAUUGCUCUGUGUCAGAUACGCUACUCAGUUCGAGAGGAGAUGAGACAGGGCUCAUUUGUAGGAAAUGUGGCUGAAGAUUUAGGCAUCGAGGCUAAAAGGCUGGUAUCAGGCGGUGCCCGAAUUGUUAGCAGCGACAGCCGCGAGUAUAUAAAGCUGGAUGUAGACAAAGGGAUUCUUGUGGUGGGGGAAAGGAUAGACAGAGAGCAGCUCUGCGGGCAGACAUCGCCUUGUAGCCUGAAUUUUGAAAUUAUAAUGUUAAAUCCAAUGCAGUUACACAGUGUUGUAGUGGAAGUACUGGAUGUAAAUGAUAAUGCACCCGUGUUUCACGAAAAAGAAGUGCAUGUAGAAAUUGUCGAGUCUGCUCUUUUAGGGACGGAAAUAAUACAAGAGAGUGCUACAGACCCUGACGUGGGCAUUAAUGCUUUACACGGCUAUACGUUACACCCUACGACAUAUUUCAAUAUUAAAGUCAUGUCCAGCCCAAAUGGCCACAAAUAUGCACAGCUGUACCUCUCCAACCUUCUUGACCGUGAGAAAGAGGAAAAGCUGCUUCUCACGCUGACUGCUGUGGACGGCGGUGAGCCGCAACGAUCAGGGACGCUGAAAAUACAUGUAACUGUGCGAGACAUUAAUGACAAUGCUCCGAUUUUUACGCAAUCAAUAUUCAAGACUACUGUUAAAGAAAAUGUUUCAAAAGGGACCCUAGUGCUGAGUGUGAGCGCAACUGAUGCAGAUGAAGGGAUGAAUGGCCGUGUUACAUAUCACCUUAAUCGCAUGUCAGGUAAUUUGGCUGAACUCUUUAAUCUGGAUGAAAACAGCGGGGAUUUGACUGUAAACGGGGCCAUCGAUUAUGAAGAGAAUAAAAUCUUUGAGAUUGGUGUGCAGGCUAAAGAUCAAGGCGGACAAAGCACAUCUACCAAAGUAAUAAUCGAGGUAGCUGACGUUAAUGACAACCCCCCAGUGAUAACACUAACAUCGUUUUCUAAUGCUAUUGCGGAGGACUCCCCGAGUGGAACUACUGUGGCAAUCAUCAACGUGAAAGAUCUCGAUUCAGGCAAAAAUGGCAAAGCAGACUGCUCAGUUAACGGCCAUAUCCCGUUUGCAAUCCACUCAUCCCUAAAGAAUUAUUACACUCUGGUUACAAACGGCGUCCUCGACAGGGAGAGCAACCCUGAAUACAACAUCACUUUCACGGCUGUAGAUGAAGGGAGCCCACCACUGUCAACCAACAAGACUAUAACACUAAGAAUUUCAGACGUCAAUGAUAAUGCACCCGUGUUUGAACAAAAUUCUUAUGAGGCUCACAUCAUGGAGAAUAACUCACCGGGGUUAUCUGUAUUCUCUGUGAAAGCACAUGACUUGGACUCCGGCCUCAACGCACGUGUAUCUUACUUGCUCAUUGAUACUCAGCUGGGUGGAAAUCCUAUAUCCAGCUAUAUAUCAGUAAACGCAGAAAGCGGAGUUAUACAGGCUGUUCGAUCAUUUGAUUAUGAGCAAAUUAAAACGCUAAAAAUAUCAGUUAAAGCUCAGGAUGGAGGCUCCCCUCCACUCAGCAGCAACACCACAAUUAAUUUAAAUAUUCAAGACCAGAACGACAACCCCCCUCAGGUCCUGUACCCGGUCCAGACUGGUGGUUCUCUGGUGGCUGAGAUGGUUCCUCGUGCAGCAGAUGUGGGCUAUCUGGUGACUAAAGUGGUGGCUGUGGAUGUGGACUCUGGACAGAAUGCCUGGCUGUCGUAUAAACUGCAGAAAGCCACAGACAGGGCGCUGUUUGAAGUGGGCUUACAGAAUGGAGAAAUCCGAACUAUCCGCCAAGUGAGUGAUAAAGAUGCUGUGAAACAAAGACUGACUGUGAUAGUGGAGGACAACGGGCAGCCGUCUCGUUCAGCUACAGUCAUUGUGAACGUGGCGGUGGCGGACAGCUUCCCUGAAGUGCUGUCAGAGUUCACUGACUUUACACACGACAAGGAGUACAAUGACAACCUGACUUUUUACUUAGUGCUGGCUUUGGCUGUAGUGUCCUUCCUCUUCAUCACGUGUUUGGUGGUCAUUAUAUCCGUGAAAAUCUACAGAUGGAGACAGUCUCGUAUCCUGUAUCACUCCAGUCUUCCAGUCAUUCCCUAUUAUCCUCCACGUUACUCAGACACUCUGGGCACAGGGACUCUUCCACACGUGUACAAUUACGAGGUGUGCAGGACGACUGACUCGAGAAAGAGUGACUGUAAGUUCGGCAGAGCUGGUAGUCAGAACGUGCUGAUAAUGGACCCCAGUUCUACAGGGACCAUGCAGAGGAUACAGAGUGAGAAGAGCAUCCUGGAUGAACCAGACUCUCCACUGGAGGUGGGCCAUUGUAUUUCUCUUCUUAUCUCAGUCUGUGUUUUUGAGUUCAGAUUUCUUUUUUCUGCCCUACAAAGUUCCCGGAAUGGCAUUUCAGAACCACCGCUUCUGGACAGCUCCCACACUGGAGUUCGUCUUGUAAACCGCUACCCCUCUCCCUCCAUCUUUGGUGAAAAUUUUGUUUUUAAGUUUCCUUGAGGGGAUGUUUUCCUUUUUUUAAUCACAGAUGUUAUUGACAUUUUAAAAUUCCAAUAGACUAAAUCCUCUUUUCUCAGGUUCUAUGGGCACAUUUCUAUUUUAGUUGAGAUGUGUACUUUAUUAUUCUAAUUAUUUGUAUCAAACUAAGCAAUCAGAAUUCUCACUCAUCUACACUCAAGUGCUUGGCUUUUUUUUUUCUUAUUUUUUAGUUCUCUUCAUUUUAUUCAUGUUUUGGACAGUAAGGGACGCUGUUGGUCAGUAAAACAAGUCUUCAGAGUUGAGUAAGAGGAGGCAGAGCCCUCAUUUUCCUGCUUCAGCUGAGGGGGGGGAGUUAGAUUGAGCAUAUGCGGAGUACGACAGUGGAUUUAUACAGAACCAGGACUUGCAUUUAUGUGGAUUAUUUGUUACAGCUCUUUCGUUUCCGUUGGAUUUGCAGCAUUCUGUUUAUUUCACGUUUUACUGUUCGUGUAAUGGCGUCUGGAAAAGGAAAAGGGCGUAUGUGUAGCGGGUCUUUAUGGCGAUGUCUUGUGUUCCUUUUGUGUCUUAGUCACAUCGUAUCUGGCCAGAUCAGAUAUACAAUACCAGAGGAGCAAAAAACUGGCUCUCUCAUUGGAAACGUCGCUCAAGACCUUGGUUUGGAUUUACAAAGGCUUCGUUCUGGCCGUGCCCGUAUUGUGACACGGAAAAGCAUCCAGUACACCGAGCUGAAAGCAGACAAAGGCUUUUUAGUCGUGAAUGAGAGGAUCGACCGAGAGCAGCUCUGUGGAGACACGACACCGUGCAGCUUCACUUUUGAGGUGAUUUUAGAGAACCCCAUGGAACUGCACCGAGUAACAGUGGAAGUCACCGAUAUAAACGACAAUUCUCCCACAUUCAGAAAGGAGGAGAUUGCAUUUGAAAUAAGCGAGACGGCCACUCUGGGAUCCCGUUUUCUUUUACCGAGUGCUGAAGACGCAGAUGUUGGCACGAAUGGUCUUCAGAAAUAUAUUCUUACCACAAAUGAUAUAUUUGCUUUGAAGCAGCAUUCAAGUCCGGAUGGCCGAAAAUAUGCCGAGAUGAUUUUACAAAAACCUUUAGACAGAGAAAGCGAGCCAAAAUUAUCACUGAAGCUCAUUGCUGUCGACGGUGGAAACCCGCAGCGAUCCGGCACAGUAAAUAUAGGUAUAACUGUGCUGGAUGUUAAUGAUAAUCCUCCCGUUUUUAACCAGUCCCUGUACAGGGCUUCUGUCCUGGAGAAUGCGUCAAAAGGCACCUACAUUACGACAGUGAAUGCAAGUGAUGCAGACAGUGGAUCAAACGGGCUUGUCACAUACAGAUUUUCAAACUUGAAAGCGCAGCUGCUUGAUAUUUUUCAUUUAGAUAAAAUGACGGGAGCCAUCACACUCUUGGGGCAAGUGGACUACGAAAAAGAUAAGAAACAUGAAAUUAUGAUUGAGGCGAUGGACCAAGGGGGUCUUACAGAUUCAAGUAAGGUACUCAUUGAAAUUAUAGACGUAAACGAUAAUGCACCUGCUAUAAACGUAAUGUCGUUCUCCAGCCCGGUGCCAGAGGAUUCUGCCCCCGGUACCACAGUAGCAAUAUUAAAUGUGAUUGAUUUAGAUUCAGAGCAAAAUGGACAAAUUAUUUGUACGACGGACAAGAGUCUCCCAUUUAAGAUAAAAUCAACCAUAACUAAUUACUAUGUGGUGGAAACAGACUCGGCCUUUGACAGAGAACUUGUUCCGGAAUAUAAUAUAACAGUGAGGGCCACUGAUUAUGGAUCACCACCUUUAUCAAGUACAACAGUGCUGCGUCUGGGGAUCUCUGAUGUGAAUGACAACACCCCAGUAUUUGAUAAGGUGAGCUACGUCUCACAUGUAACAGAAAAUAAUCCUCCUGGACUGUCAAUAGCUUCCGUCAGAGCACAGGACAGUGACUGGAAUCAAAACGCGAGAAUUUCGUACUUUCUUGAAGAGACACAGAUAAAUGGUAGUCCGACUUCUUCUUAUGUCUCUAUUAACACUGAGACUGGAACUAUUCAUGCAGUGCGCUCUUUUGAUUAUGAGCAAAUUAAAACGUUGUCUUUUGUAGUCAAAGCUCAGGAUGGAGGCUCCCCUCCACUCAGCAGCAACGUGACAGUGAAAAUAGUGAUCCAGGACCAGAACGACAACCCCCCUCAGGUCCUGUACCCGGUCCAGACUGGUGGCUCUCUGGUGGCUGAGAUGGUGCCUCGUGCAGCAGAUGUGGGCUAUCUGGUGACUAAAGUGGUGGCUGUGGAUGUGGACUCUGGACAGAAUGCCUGGCUGUCGUAUAAACUGCAGAAAGCCACAGACAGGGCGCUGUUUGAAGUGGGCUUACAGAAUGGAGAAAUCCGAACUAUCCGCCAAGUGAGUGAUAAAGAUGCUGUGAAACAAAGACUGACUGUGAUAGUGGAG